UCUCUGGUGGUCCAGUGGUUAAGAAUCUGCCUUGCAAUGCAGAGGACCUGGGUUCAAUCCCUGGUCAGGGAA
rfam:Ovis aries breed Texel chromosome 13, whole genome shotgun sequence.